rnacentral:lncRNA from 1 species
CCCUAAUGCCACCUUAACAGACUCCCUACUUGGCCACUUCCUCCAAAGCCAGGCAGUCUUCUCCGUUCUUGAGACUUCAUCCUGUUAGCGAUAAACACGGAUGACUAGCAAGUGCCAAAAAAAAGAAAAAAAAGAAAAAAGUCUUAAACACCGUGCGCUUCUUCCCUUCCCGGGCUCCACCGUGUCUAGUCUUUCAGUGGCCUGGCCAAAGGUGUAUGACCUCAUCCAAGUGAGCCCAGGUAAUGAAGAUGAGAUGUGGGAACCAGAAAGGUCGUUACAUUGGCGUUUUCUUGAUCUCUACCCGCCGCAGCUGUCCUAGAAUUGACCUGCGUCCCGCAGGGAAAUCCAUGAGACUAAUUCUUACCGAAUCUACGCCAUGUGCCAGGUAGAUGCUAGAAUUGCACAAACAAACAAAGCCAAGUCUUUGCCUUAAGAGCCAGUGGUGAGAGGCCGUGCCAUUUCAUUCAUUACAAGAACAGUUAUUGAGUUGCUGGCGUUUCCAGACUUUGUUCAAGGUGCAGAGUAUACACCUGUGAGUGAAACAGACAGAAACCCUUGUCUUCCGGGACUUUUCAUUCUUGUGGAUGGGGACAGGCAAUAAACAAGACAAGUAAGUGACAUUGUGGUAUGAGAGAUGGGGAUCCGUGCUAUGGGGAAACAAAGCAAGGAAGGGCGAUAGCUCCUGUAGUGAUGCUCCUAUGAACCCCUGGAAGAGGUGAGGAAGCUGGCCCAGGGAUAUCUGGGAUUGCAGGGCUCCGGGCUGUGACUUCCAGUCUGAUGGAGCUGGGAAACCAGUACAGUAAAUCAUCAGAAUCCCAUGAAAAAACAAUGUAAAUGACAGACAGAGAUUCCAAGCUUUGAUUUUUACUUGGGAGUGAGAUGGAAAGCUAUUGGUCUCAAGGUGUUACAAUUCAAUGUGAAGUUGAUAUGAAAGAAGUACUGGGAAUGUGCCGUGAACACGCAGAGGAAGGCUACUGGUCUCUUCUCGGAGAUCUGGGCACGCUAAAAGGGGGACAUUUGCUUGGCUUUAGUGGUGCAUUGGCAGUUUGCCCGGUAAAGGAGAAAGUGGGCGGUCGGGAAGAAGGUAUUGGGUCGCAAUAAAAGAAAUACAGGGGAAGCCAGAUUUCUCUAAUAGUUUAAUGUGUUUAAAAGUGAAUUAAGGGGCGCCUGGGUGGCGCAGUCGGUUGAGCAUCCGACUUCAGCCAGGUCACGAUCUCGCGGUCUGUGACUUCGAGCCCCGCGUCAGGCUCUGGGCUGAUGGCUCAGAGCCUGGAGCCUGUUUCCGAUUCUGUGUCUCCCUCUCUCUCUGCCCCUCCCCCGUUCAUGCUCUGUCUCUCUCUGUCCCAAAAAUAAAUAAACGUCAAAAAAAAAUAAAAAUAAAAAAAAGUGAAUUAAGAGUGUAUGUACAGCAUGUUUUCCUUUUCAAAAUUUUUCAACACAUUCUUCUACUUGUUCUUAGAAAUUAGCAUCUGCUUUUUUGAAAGUGGGCAGAAACUUCAGUGAGAGCUCAUGGACACAGCUGUGGUAUUCUUUUUUGGAAGUAUGCCAUGUAUGGGUUUGAUGUCCUGUUAUUUCUGGAUCUGUGAGACUCUGAUAAGAGAAAUGCAAAAGAAUACUGACCAAUGGAUUGGUUGCCAUUAAACUUGGUGAAAACGGAACCAACACGGAGCCCAGAUGACCAGGAGAAAUGGCAGUGGUAGCAGUGGAUACCGGUAACAAAACAUGAAGAAAUUCCAGUGUUUGCAGUUCCAUUAAAGAAAAGACUGCAAUGUCAAUGGAAAGAGAAAGAAAAGAAAUUGGAGAAGAGGUGUAGACAUAUAAGGCGAGACUCCUACCCUGAAACUUGAUUACUUGUUAAAUAAUGCGGACCACGUGGGGCGCCGGGGUGGCUCAGUCUGUUAAGCGUCUGACUUUGGCUCAGGUCAUGAUCUCGAGGUUCAUGAUUUCCAGCCCCACGUUGGGCUCUGUGCUGACAGCUCAGAGUCUGGAGCCUGCUUCGGAUCCUGU